GACGAACGCUGGCGGCGUGCUUAACACAUGCAAGUCGAACGGAAAGGCCCUGCUUUUGUGGGGUGCUCGAGUGGCGAACGGGUGAGUAACACGUGAGUAACCUGCCCUCGACUUUGGGAUAACUUCAGGAAACUGGGGCUAAUACCGGAUAGGAGCUCCUGCUGCAUGGUGGGGGUUGGAAAGUUUCGGCGGUUGGGGAUGGACUCGCGGCUUAUCAGCUUGUUGGUGGGGUAGUGGCUUACCAAGGCUUUGACGGGUAGCCGGCCUGAGAGGGUGACCGGCCACAUUGGGACUGAGAUACGGCCCAGACUCCUACGGGAGGCAGCAGUGGGGAAUAUUGCACAAUGGGCGGAAGCCUGAUGCAGCAACGCCGCGUGCGGGAUGACGGCCUUCGGGUUGUAAACCGCUUUCGCAUGUGACGAAGCGUGAGUGACGGUAAUGGAUAAAGAAGCACCGGCUAACUACGUG
rnacentral:rRNA from 1 species